AUUAUUACUGUCCUUGUGACUUGAGUUUCUGUUUCCAUGUAAGUCCCGCCUUCCUGCUGUCAGCAUAUACUGUAUUCCUCCUGUCUCUGACUUGCAUUUUCAGAGGAUGUCAUUUAUCCGGACACUUCCACUUCAGCUUCCAACUCACAUUUUUCCCUUAGUGGGAAGGUAUUAUUCUCCUCUCUUUGACUUGGGUUGCCACUUGCCAGAUGAUGUCCUUUCCAAACAUAGCAACUUUUUGGAGGUAUAAACUGCCUCAUGCUGGCUUUUAAAAAAUCAUCAGUAAGCCCAUUUUUUUCCAGUUUGCCACGGUACUAAUUUGAAGUGGGAUAGCAACCGGCCCAAGGACAUCCGCCAACAGAAUGUCAGUAAAGCCGAGUUGUUAAGCACGCAAAAAAAGAGCGCCGGGUGGGACACGGGAACGAGGUCAUGACGUCUGCUGUGAGUCAGCUCCCAAGCUGCUUUUCACCGCCGCCAGAAUGAGAACAAAGAGCUGCUGCACAAACUUUUAAUACCUAAUUAAACUGCACAAUUUGUGUUUUGUCGUGAACAAUAACAAAACUGAAACGGCACUAUAGCUCAUUCGGCUGUUUCCAGUAUAAAAUGUUCUCAUUAAAUAAGUGUAAGAGUUAAAUGAGCCCGCACAAUGGUACACUUAAUUACUUUUUGUUAUUGCAGCAUUAUAGGCGCUCUUGUUGAAAUGGAAGUAUUAAUCCUUCCAUGAGUGGUUAUUAAUGGACACAUGCUGGUCACUGUGUGAUUAUCUUGUUGCCAUAACAACAGGGCACACCAAAACAAAAGAUGUAAGUACUUUGAUGGAAAGAGAGCUGACAUGUUACUAUUGCAGUGCAUCAAGUUUACUUCAACUAGAAACUUUGUGAGGAUACAGUACUGGGGCCUAGAGUGUUGUGUAACUAUAACAUUUCGACUUGCACAUUAUAAUGAAAUUAAAUGCUGUAAAUGGGGCCAAGAAAGUCACAUGCCAUGAGGCGAUGUGGCGCAAUGGAAAGCACAUUGGACUUCUCGUUAAGUAACUUAACUUUAUUUCUUGAUCAUUUUAACAACAACCAGAGGUGUAAUAAGGUGCUGUACAUAAAACAUUAAAAUAAUAAUGAUGCAAAAAGAAAUAAUGUAAAAUAAGUAAAAUAUUCUUUUCCAAUUCAAAUAUACAAGAGCUCCAUUGCAUUUGUUGUUUGAAGCCAUUCGUAGAUAAAAAAGGAGGAGCAAAAUUGAAGUCUCCAAUGACCAGUAUCCAGGACACCAGGAUCACAAUUCAAUUAACCUACCAUGGAUCACAGAUGUCUAUGGCUGGGACACUGAAAUUGUAAUCUCACGGCGUGCGUGACGUGACGUCCCUCGCCUUUGCUACAAGAUGAGUUUGAACGUAAACAAACAACUGCAGUUUUCAAACAGCCAAUAGUUCUUCCGAUGAUGAGUAACACUCUAACAACUAACACUAAAUGACCAAAACAGUGGAAAAGAACAAAUUGAGGAGAAAAUUAAAAGAGCUAUUGUAACAGGUUGCCAACUCACAGGUAAGUCCAGUUGACAGUAACAAUUGAAGUGAUUCAAAGAUUGUGAGUUUGAUGCAGAAUAUUUUAUUUAUUCAAACAUAUACUGUGCAUUUCAUUUGGAAAUGUGUGAUGUUCUUCUACAAAUGCUGUUCAAGGUGAGGUAUAGGUUGGCCUUGACGUGUAAACUUCUAAUGUGCUUCUGCUAUGUAGAUUCUUGAUUUACCUGACAAUUUGAAUUGUCGAUUGAAAAUAAUCAUUGCAGUUAAGACUGAAUCACAGCAGGCUCAGAUUCUUUCGAUAAAACCAGGGCUGCAACUAUCCAUCCAUUUCCUGAGCCGCUUCUCCUCACAAGGGUCGCGGGAGUGCUGGAGCCUAUCCCAGCUAUCUUCGGGGAGGAGGCGGGGCACACCCUGAACUUGAACUGGUCGCCAGCCAAUCGCAGGGCACACAUAAACAAACAACCAUUCGCACUCACAUUCACACCUACGGGCAAUUUAGAGUCUUCAAUUAACCUACCAUGCAUGUUUUUGGGAUGUGGGAAGAAACCGGAGUGCCCACGCAGGCACGGGGAGAACAUGCAAACUCCACACAGGUGGGGCUGGGAUUUGAACCCCAGGCCUCAGAACUGUGAGGCAGACACUCUAACCAGUCGGCCACUGGGGCUGCAACUAAAGAUUAUUUUAAUAAUCGGUUAAUCUGUUGAUUAUAUUUUCGAUUAAUCAAAUCGGAUUCAAAAACCUUUUUUUAUUUAUAUCCCUUGAAAUAGUGUAUAUAGUGUAUAGUGGUGUAGUGAAGAAAAUGCACAAAUAUGAUUCAGUUACUGGUUUGGUAAUAUUUCAGAAAACGGGCCAAAUUGUUGAUCAUAUUUUUCCUAAGUAAAAGCAGAUGUUUGAAAAUGUCUUAUUUUGAUGAAAUAAAGCUAAUCAGUCUGCUGUAAUGGAAGACAGAAAUGUGAGAAUAUUUAGGGUAAAGAGGCUGAAAUUUUGAGAACUUUGACAUUUUUAGGUUCAAGUUCCCCCCUUCCACCAGAAUCCAUUUUUUUCUACUAUUGUAUUCAUAACAUAGGUCAAAAUUAGUCUGUGACAUGGUUUUAAGUUUGUCAUCUAUGGGAUUUUUUGGUUGAAUGCAAAAGGCAAUAAACGACCUAAUUCUUGCAAAACGGUUGGAUUUGAAAUCGCCGACAGUGUGAUGCUAUUUUGUCAAUGAACUACAACGGAUAGUCAGGACUGCGGGAAAAAAAUUGUCUGUACCCCCUACCCACCCUUGAGGACUUGCACACUACCAGAACUAAGACAAGAGCAUGAAAAAUCCUCUUGGACCCUUCACAUCCUGGUCACCACCUCUUCCAGCUCCUUCCCUCAGGUAGGCGCAACCGAUCUUCUUUCUUCUUUUCCUUUCGGCUUGUCCCUUUAGGGGUCACCACAGCGCGUCAUCCUUCUCCAUGUAAGCCUAUCUCCUGCAUCCUCCUCUCAAACACCAACUGCCCUCAUGUCUUCCCUCACGACAUCCAACAACCUUCUCUUUGGUCUUCCUCUAGCGCUCUUGCCUGGCAGCUCCAUCCUCAUCAUCCUUCUACCAAUAUACUCACUAUUUCUUCCACGUGUCCAAACCAUUGAAGUCUGGUCUCUCUAACUUUGUCUCCAAAACAUCGAACCUUGGCUGUCCCUCUGAUGAGCUCAUUUCUAAUUUUAUCCAACCUGGUCAAUCCGAGAGCGAACCUCAACAUCUUCAUUUCCGCCACCUCCAGCUUUGCUCCCUGUUGUCUCUUCAGUGCCACUGUCUCUAAUCCGUACAUCAUGGCUGGCCUCACCACUGUUUUAUAAACUUCGCCCUUCAUCCUAGCUGAGACUCCUCUGUCACAUAACACACCUGACACCUUCCUCCACCCGUUCCAACCUGCUUGGACCCGUUUCUUCACUUCCUGACCACACUCACCGUUGCACUGGACAGUUGACCCCAAGUAUUUAAAGUCCUCCACCCUUGCUAUCUCUUCUCCCUGUAGCCUCACUCUUCCCCCUCUACCCCUCUCAUUCAUGCACAUAUAUUCUGUUUUACUUCAGCUAAUCUUCAUUCCUCUGCUUUCCAGUGCAUGCCUCCAUCUUUCUAACUGUUCCUCCACCUGCUCCCUGCUUUCACUGCAGAUCACAAUGUCAUCUGCAAACAUCAUGGCCACGGGGAUUCCAGUCUAACCUCAUCUGUCAGCUUAUCCAUCACCACUGCAAACAGGAAGGGGCUCAGGGCUGGACCCUGAUGCAGUCCCACCUCAACCUUAAAUUUGUCUGUCACACCUACACCACACCUCACCACUGUUCUGACGCCCUCGUACAUGUCCUGUAUUAUUGUAACAUACAUCUCUGCCACUCCAGACUUCCGCAUGCAGUACCACAGUUCCUCUUUGGGUACUCUGUCAUAGGCUUUCUCUAGAUCUACAAAGACACAAUGUAGCUCCUUCUAACCUUCUGUGUACCUUUCCAUCAACAUCCUCAAGGCAAAUAAUGCAUCUGUGGUACUCUUUCUAGGCAUGAAACCAUACUGUUAAUUCCCACAGCUCUGCACAUCACCCUUGUUCUUAAAAAUGGGCACUAGCACACUUUUCCUCCAUUCCUCAGGCAUCUUCUCACGCGCUAGAAUUCUAUUGUACAAGCUGGUCAAAAACUCCACAGCCACCUCUCCUAGAUGCUUCCAUACCGCCACAGGAAUGUUAUCAGGACCAACUGCCUUUCCAUUUUUCAUCCUCUUUAGUGCCUUUCUAACUUCCCCCUUACUAAUCAUUGCCACUUCCUGGUCCACCACACUUGCCUUUCUCCCUCUCUGCCUGACUCUCCCUUUUCCUCAUUCAUCAACUCCUCGAAGUAUUCUUUCCAUCUGUCCAGCACACUACUGGCACCAGUCAACAUAUUUCCAUCUCUAUCCUUAAUCACCCUAACCUGCUGCACAUCCUUCCCAUCUCUAUCCCUCUGUCUGGCCAACCUGUAUAGAUCCUUUUCUCCUUCUUUAGUGUCCAACCUGGCAUACAUGUCAUCAUAUGUCUCUUGUUUGGCCUUUGCGACCUCUACCUUUGCCCUAUGUCGCAUCUCAAUGUAUUCCUUUCGCCUCUCCUCGGUCCUCUCAGUGUCCCACUUCUUUUUAGCUAACCUUUUUCCUUGUAUGAAUUCCUGUACUGAGAGGUUCCACCACCAAAUCUCCUUCUCUCCUUUCCUGCCAGAAGUACACCAAGUACUCCCCUGCCUGCCUCUCUGAUUACCUUGGCUGCAGUGGUCCAGUCUUCUUGAAGCGCUCUUCCCAAAAAGCUGCUCAACAUUCAUCCUGUCUCAGCUUCCACCACAUGGUUCUCUGCUCUGCCUUUGUCUUUCUAAUCUUCCUACCCACCACCAGAGUCAUCUUACACACCACCAUCCUAUGCUGUCUAGCAACACUCUCCCCUACCACUACCUUACAGUCGGUAACCUCCUUCAGAUUACAUCCUCUGUACAAGUUGUGCCAAUGGAGCAUCAAAGGGUUGUAUGAUAAUUGAGAAAUUGUACUUGGUUGAAAACUUCACCAUGAUUUGACUGUGGGUCAAACUCACCUUUGAAGGUCUUCAACUAUGAAUUACCUCAAGUUAACUUUCCUGCGUUAGUUGUUUAGUGGUAAGCAUAUCUGUCUCCCAAGCUAUGACCUGUGUUUGAUUCCAAGCCAAUGCAUUGCUUUAGAUUAUCUUGUGGGCCGGCAGUUACUCCAUUGUCAUACUUGUUACAUUGUUGGCUAGUUGCUCUAAUGUUUUGUAUAACUAUGAUAAAAAUUCUGAUUGUUCGUAUGACAUUGUUUCUGUGGCGAGACAAAAUUAGAACUUUACUUCGAAGUGCAAUGCAAUAAAAAGCCCACUAGUGUUGUGCAUUAUUAAUUGCAUUAUGUUGCACACUUGACAACAAAAUGACUCUGGUGGGACUCGAACCCACAACCUUUGAAUGACUUUCACCAUUAAUUAGCUAGAAGUCCGAUGCGCUAUCCAUUGCGCCACAGAGCCACUUACCAUAAUCUUGUUAGUGGUUAUGAUAAAAUAACAUUAAGAUUGUACCAAGUACAAAUGUCUGAUAUAACUAUUGUCUACUCUUUCCAUGUCUGAAAAAUUGCUUGCAUAUUAACGAUCAACCGAGGUGAUGGGUGGGAUUCCAGCCGACCGCUUUUUCUACUGUCAUUCUGUUGCCAUUUGUAAGAUGAUUCUGGUGGGAAUCAGACCCAAAAAUCCCUGCGGUGGUAGAGGACUAUCUUAACCAUUUAACCUCACAGCUGCCACAAGUGCAGUGGCACUUUGAUUCACUUAAACUUAUUUUUCAAAAUUGCCUCUGUAGUGGUUAGCAUAGCUGCCUUCCAAGCAGUUGGUCUCUGUUCAAUUCCCAGCCAAUGUUAUUGCAGUCUUUUGUAGCAUCACGGGCCUCGAUUCCCGCAAUUUCAAUCCUCUGUAUGUGUCAUGUAUAUUGAAGAAUUUACAAUAAAACUACCUUGUAUGUUAUUUACAGACGUGCGAACACCAAACAUCGCUCCGUCGCAUAAUACAUUUAACAUUAACAUCCGUAAACUAAUUGGAUAAUUGUAGGCGUGUUUCCUAAUUAAUACAAGCUGUACGAGUGGAUCAGCAUUUUACGUGUGCUUCACAGUUCCGCUGGGACCACAACCAGGGCCACGACCCACAGUACCUCAACGCGAAAAAUACAAAAGACCAGUGCAACAAAUACGACACUGGGUGAUCUCAUGAGCAAAAAUGUUGCUUAAACGUAAGAGUAGCAAUAGAGAAUGUCCGCUCCAGAGGUGGGUAGAGUCGCCAAAUAUUGUACUCAAGUAACUUGAGUGUUACUUGACAAUAAUGUGACUCAAGUAAAAGUGUAAAAAGUACACAGUGAAAUAAUUACUCAAGUACUGAGUAAAUAGUGAGAAACUUCAGAUUUUUUUAACCACUGCAUGAACAUCAAUUAAAAAAAAUGACAAAAUAAAAUGUGACUGUGCAAAUUCUGAUGUUGCUCUGUGUGUGUGUAUGCUAGUUAUGCACAGUGUUUUCUCAAGUUAUAAUUGAGCUGAAAUAUCCACGUGACAGCAGACAGUGCCAGUAAAAUACUACAAUACAUGGAAACUGUUGUUUUUAAAUCAUGCAUUACAGAAUGGCAAAAAAAUGGAAUCAGCCCACUCUCGCUCUCAGGUGCUAAUUUAUUUAGAGAAGUCAAUUCUCUUUCAUUUGUAGCAUUUCUCUUGGUUGUAGUGCUUCCAGGACAUGUAUGCGGAUGUUGGAAUUUUUGUUUCUUCUUUUCAAUCAGAUUUCAGCUUCAAUGUACUGCCAUGUCCAUCCUUUCCUCCCAGGGCCUCCAGAAUCAGUUGUGCUGGGCCAUGUAACUUAAACUAUAUUAAGUUUUGUUUUGUUUUGUUUUUGAACCAAUCAGAUUUCUAAAUCGUCCACAUAGGGACAGAGCGCUGGCUCUCGAUGACUUCAGCUUUUUUGUUCUCCAAUUGGUUGAUCAGAGCAAAAUUAUUUGAUGAGGGAUCUGCACCCAUUAAUACAGUUAAUAAUUAGCAUCUCUGGUGAGCAUGAUGUAUUUUACUUUUUCACGUUUUUGUCAUGGUAUUAGAUAAAUAUUGAUUCUGAACUGCUCCGUAUGAUGCGAUUAUAUUGCGUUUUUAUUUAGUAUUGAUGGUUUCGAUAAGUUCAACGUGAUAGAGGUGGUAUUAAGAGUCAGAUUUAGUCGCGUAAGACCCCACUGAAGGCCCAAGUACCAAAUGCACGGCCCUCCACUUGCGUGAACAGAAUUUUCCCAUAUGUGGCAAAAGUAUCCGCUGGUGGCAGCAAAUAUCCAAGGAGAGGGACUCUGCAUCUUUUUGCACAAUUGUCAAAAAAAAAAAAAAUGUACCGCCAUUACCAGAUAACUAGCAACCCUUUACUGCUCAGUGACUGUUUUUUUUUUUUGUCAAUGUCUUUCUGUCUCCAAAGUGUUCUGUCAAUUGACUGUCUGUUGUCGUACUAGAGCGGCUCCAACUACCGGAGACAAAUUCCUUGUGUGUUUUUUGGACAUACUUGGCAAAUAAAGAUGAUUCUGAUUCUGAUUGUGAUUCUGAGAAUGCAUGUGUUUAUUGCUUUCAACAUUUUUGCGGCUGGUUUUAUGAGGACAAAGUGAGGCUUUAUCCUUGCAAAGAAGCACAAGAAUGAGAAACCGAAUACCCUCCUGGCCGCAGCCUCCAAAUUGGCCUCAUUACUGCGUAACUUCCUGGUCAAUGCGCGUCGCUCUGACCUUGGCCUUUGAAAUGUAGAAGCGCUGCGUCUUGGGGUUGGCGCUCGAGGAACAAGGCGUCUCUGUGUGAACGUGUGUGUUUUGUGUGUGUGCGUAAAUACAUGUUGGGCAGCAGGCUCAUUUGUGUGAUUGUGCGUCGACGCGCUGGCGUUUGAGGGAGUUAGCGGUGCUCCUUCUGACGUCAAUCUGCUUCACUUGCAAUAGAUCUAUGUCAGUGUUCAGUGUGGUGCUGAGGACUGGAUUAGACAAAGAACAGUAAUGCCUAUCAAUCACUUUUAUAGAUAAACACAGGCCCAUCCAUCUAUUGUAACAUUCCAGGCAUGAGUGUUGGUGUGAGAAAUCAAUUGCAUAUGCAUCCUCUCUUCAAGGUUCAAGGUGCUUUUAUUGUCAAUUCUUCUAUAUGCGUAACACGUGCAGAGGUUUGAAAUUACGGUACUCAAGGGCCCGCGGUGCUACAAAACCCCAAUGUUGAUAAAGUGGCUGGUGCGACCCUGAGUCUGGUGUGUGUGUGUGUGUGUGUGUGUGCUUGUGCAUGUAUGUGGGGCGUCAAGAGUUCAGAGUUUAGGUGGGCAGAGGACAGAAGAGGUAGAAAGUUCAAAUUCCUGACAACCUGAUGAAUAAAACUGUCUUUGAGUCGGCUAGUCCUGGCCCGCAGACUCCGCAGUCUCCUCCCUGUGCACUAAUCAGACAUCAGCACAAGGUUACAAUAAACAGCUGUGACAGUGUAUACAUGUUAUUUUCCUGAGUGAAGAAAAGACACUCAGGCUAGUUCAUCUCCUAAAUUGUCAACAACAGUGCCUGUAUCAACCCUGCAGGACAAUACCACUAGCAGUAUGUGCACAUGCAUCUUUAGUUUUUGCUUUUUCACUCCAUUAUAGACAUUGGGCUCCUUUUUAUAGAUGGCGCAUCCACAGCAGAGUACAAAAGCUGGCAUAUCUGGAUUUUUGUGCAAGCACACGGGUGUGUAUUUGGAGAUGCGCCCAACGACGUGACAAUUUGGUGGGAGAAAUUUAGUCUAAACGUACGUAUCAAGGUAGACCGCCGGUCUAAUGCGAAUUUGGUGAAUUUGAUCGGGGAACAGGCAGACAGAUUCUCAGCUCCAGGGACAUGUGGGGUUGAUGUCAGAUGUAUUUCAUUCAUGAACACGUGAACAGCGCGCAGCAAACCCUUUGAAUCAUUGUAGAAAUCAAUUAAUUGAAGACAUUAGUAUUUAGGGUUGGGCAUCGAGAAUCGGGAGCCGACUGGAACCAGGACUAACAUUCCAAUUCUCCCGGAAUCGUUCAAUUUAAAAACUUUCGGUUUCCAGUUUCGUUGCCGACCUCGAAGAAGUGGCAUUUUAGUUUAUGCUGCCGGCUGCUAAGAAAAUGGAUGUUCAUAAUUUGCACACCUUAUAUUUAAACCAUGCAAACCUUUUUGAACCAGCCCUCAAAAAGAAACGAAAUCGAGAAUCGUUUGGAACUGGAAUCGAAAUGAAGAACCGGAAUCGCUCAAAUUCAAACGAUGCCCAACCCUGUUAGUAUUAUUAUCAUCAUUAUUGUAAUUUUUAAAUCAUCCCAACAAUCAGGGGUGUGGGGGCCAUUUCCAAGUGUCCACUUCACGGCGCAGAUAUUAUCUCCUUCACAUCAUCAGCCCUUGGAGGUCUGCUUGCAGUUUCGUAUAAAGGUACUUUGCGCACUUCGACCUCCCACAAUCGAGCAAAUUAGUUUCUUCUUCUGCCGUGUCAAAGACUGUGUUCGGUUCUUGCGUACUGCAUUUCAAGGGAAUGAGAGGACCCGCUUUGAUUGGACAGGAUUGAAGUCGGAUGUGUUCACGGCCACAGCAAUACAGAUGUCCCUCUUUUUACAUGUGCUGGUCCACAAAAUUACCAGCACUUCAGCGCAGAGUUAAGCCACACGUAGCACCAAAUUUCACAUUUCAGUCACAAAAAUAGUGUUUAAAAUACAUACAAUCACACUUACAUUUGUGGGGAUCAUAUUAACAUUACUGGCUUGUACAGUUCAGUUGUAUUUAACUUGAUUUAAGUCAUUCAUUAUUUAAGUACAGUUUUUUUAUUUUCCUUUACAGUGGUACCUUGAAGACUUAUGAGUGACCCAUCUCACAAGCCGUCGCUCAGAUGAUUUUUGUUUGCUUUGCGUUGCCAGCAAGAUUCUGUUACGAGCGCUCGAUGGUGGCAUAGAACUCAACUCACUUCAUAACAAGCAGCAGUUUGGCACGUAUUGAACAAUUCUUAAAUAAGAGGGAUCAAGCUGCCGCUCCAAGUUGAAACUAAACAUCAAACCAGUAUUUAAUACAUGGUGUAUUUAAAACAACUAUGUACGUCACUUUAAAUGUCUGCUAGAUUAAUGCUAACACACAAUGCAAAGACAUUUAGCCCGAAAAUGACAUUUACGGGCUAACGAACAGCAUCUACGUGGCAGAGUAAUAACCCAUUACGCAACGGAUAUUUUAACACUAACUGUGCAACAACACAUUUAGUAUAUAUUCUUUAUCCUUUGCAAAAAACAUCAAAUUUUCCUGCCGCUUAAUGAGUCACUUAGUUGUGAAACUCUUUGUUUGUGUCUGUAUGAGUAUUAUAUUUUGCUUGGUAUUCAAAAUAAUGUGGAAUAAAUCAGAAACCAUUAAAUUCUAAAAAAGUAGAAUUUUGUUUGAAUACUAAUUUAAUUUGAGUAUUGCUCUAAUUACAGUAACAGGGUUGCAAAUCAAGAGUACAUGCAAAAUUUUUAAGCUGCUAUACUAACUGGUCAAAAACAAAAGUAGCCAUUUAAUAAAGAAAGACUGUCUUUUUCUGAUCGUAUGACGAACAGGUUUGCAUUAUUUUCGGUGACACACUAGUUUUAAAUGUCGCGGGGACAGAAAAUGACCCAGCUAUAGAUACACCAAUCACCAUGCUGAACAUAGCUCCAUCCAGAUGAGAUUACACGUGCAAAAUACAUCAGCAUGACUGCAUGUCACUUGAUAGUCUACAAUCUAAUAUCUGGAAUAGACGCUGUCAUAUUUGAUCGAAAGCGGAAUGCUGUUGCUAGCAUGGUCUUGCUACUUUGCUGGUUGAGUUGAAGUUGACUGAGACUUGUCUAAGUGAAAAAAGUGACGUGUUGAAGCGGUGUUGUCAUCACAGCGUCAGUCUGACAUUCAAGGGUCUAUACAGACAACAAUCCCCCGCCUCCCUCCCCCUCUCUUUUUUUCUUUUUCCUCUUUUUCCAUAACGUGAUGGAAUCCAACCGUCAUUGAAAUGGGGACUGAAGACAUGCUGCUUUGUAACCUCCGCCAGGGAGCUUAUUUACAUCAACUUGUCUUAUUUGUUUAUGACUAACAUUUUCACAUGCUCAUCUACUACGAACAAUACUGCCACAUUUUUCAGAAUCUUGCGCAUCGUCACUAUAACUAACCAUUUUUGGGGGGAAUUUUGUGUUUUACAUUUUUUUUUACAAAAGCAAAACCUAAAAUAAAAUGUUUUAUUUUUCUUUAGUCUAAAAAAUCAUUGGUCUUCAUCAGCAAUCAUGAAAGACUUUAAUAUUCUACUAAUACCAUAAGUAGAAUCAAUGCCUUAGUACAGUUGUAUUGAACGUUUUAAUACAAUAUUAAAUUUAAUUUAAUCUUUAAGAACUGUUUAUUUUUUUUUUAAUUAUGUAGGCACAAUUCUGCUUUAAAUUGAAAGUUUGCAGUUUUGAGAAAUGGCUAGCAAGAUUUUUGUGCAGCCUCACUUCACUACUCCUCCUCAAGUGUCUGACCAAAGCCCCGCCCCUCACUGACGUGCACUGUAUGUAGCAGGCACUGUAAACAAACAUUAGCCACGGCAGCUACAUCAGUAGCAUGUCUUAUUCGUAGUGGAUUGUUACUGUAACAUUAAGUGUUAUUGGCUUAAAGUUGAAUCUUUUGGAAUAUACAAUCAAUAAAAAUUCAAGAAGAGGUGAUAAACUUACCUGUCAAGCAGAAAUGUUGCUAUUUCAGCAUUGUUUCUCAAUCCUCAGCUGCCUGAGGGCCCGAGCUGUGUGCUUAGGUUGAUGCCCAGCUGUUGGCAAACAGUAAAGUUUCAACAAAGCUUCUGAAGCCCAAGGUAACAGUUUGCAGAUGACACCACAGUCAUCAAAGACGGUGACGAGUCGGCAUAUCGACAGGAAAUGGAGCGGCUGGAGCUGUGGUGCGGCCGACACAACGUGGAGCUGAACACGCUCAAGACUGUAGAGAUGAUCGUGGACUUCAGGAGGCAUCCUUCGCCACAGCUGCCCCUCACGUUGUCCAGCUGCCUUGUGUCAACCGUCGAGACCUUCAAGUUCCUGGGAAUUUCAGUCUCUCAGAACCUGAAGUGGGAGAUCAACAUCAACUCCGUCCUCAAAAAGGCCGAGCAGAGGAUAUACUUCCUGCGGCUUCUGCGGAAGCAAGGCCUGCCACAGGAGCAACUGAGGCAGUUCUACACAGCGGUCAUCGAAUCAGUCCUGUGUUCUUCCAUCACAGUCUGGUUUGGUGCUGCUACAAAAAAGGACAAACUCCGACUGCAACGGACAAUCAAAACUGCUGGAAAGAUUGUCGGUACUCCCCUACCCACCCUUGAGGACUUGCACGCUGCCAGAACUAAGACAAGAGCAUACAAAAUCCUCUUGGACCCUCCACAUCCUGGUCACCAGCUCUUCCAACUCCUUCCCUCAGGUAGGCGCUACCGAACAAUGAAAACUAAAACUAGCAGACAUUCCAACAGCUUCUUCCCUCUUGCCAUUAACUUCUUAAACAGUUAACUUACAAUUCCAUUGCAACAUGCUGCCAAUUUUUUUGUCUUGAGUUUGUUGUCACAUUUCUGUCGGGCCAAUUAUACAUUUACUCGUGCAAUCACUGUAGUAGUCGCGCCACGCUGCACUAUUUGCAUAUAUGUUGUUGACUGGCCACUCAUGUGCCUGAGUAGCAUCUGCAACAUUUGCACAAUCAACAUUGUCCCAGAUUAUCGCACUACUAGUCACUUUAAACUGCAUACAUUUCUUGAAGUCUCUGCGCCCUUUGCACAAUGGUCAUUGCACCGGACUAUUGCUAUAUUAGUCAUUCGAACUGCUCUCAUUGCUAGAGAACUCUGCAUCUUUUUGCACAAUUGUCAAAAACAAAAUUCAAGUUGUAAUUCAAGCAUUACCAGAUUACUAGCAACCUCUUAUUGCUCAGUGACUGUUUUUUUUUUUGGCAAUGUCUUUAUGUCUCCAAAGUGUUCUCUGUCAAUUGACUGUCUGUUGUCGUACAAGAGCGGCUCCAACUACCGGAGACAAAUUCCUUGUGUGUUUUUCACAUACUUGGCGUAAUAAAGAUGAUUCUGAUUCUGA